rnacentral:miRNA from 12 species
CAGCCAGUAACGCCACUGCCUCU